AACGAACGCUGGCGGCAUGCCUAACACAUGCAAGUCGAACGAGACCUUCGGGUCUAGUUGCGCACGGGUGCGUAACGCGUCGGAACCUGCCCUUAGGCUCGGAAUAACUCCCCGAAAGGGGUGCUAAUACCGGAUAAUGUCUUCGGACCAAAGAUUUAUCGCCUUUGGAUGGGCCCGCGUUGGAUUAGCGAGUUGGUAGGGUAAAAGCCUACCAAGGCGACGAUCCAUAGCUGGUCUGAGAGAAUGAGCAGCCACACUGCGGGUGAGACACGGCCCAGACUCCAACGGGAUGCAGGAGAGGGGGAUAUUGGAAAAGGGACGAAGGGCGGAACAAGCAAUGGCGCGUGAGUGAUGAAGGCGUUAGAGAAAAAAAGCUCGUUUACCCGAGGCGGUAAUGACAGUACCGAGAGAAUAAGCACCGGCUAACUUCGUG
rnacentral:rRNA from 1 species